UACGGAGGAUCCAAGCGUUAUCCGGAAUCAUUGGGUUUAAAGGGUCCGUAGGCGGUUUAAUAAGUCAGUGGUGAAAGCCCAUCGCUCAACGGUGGAACGGCCAUUGAUACUGUUAAACUUGAAUUAUUAGGAAGUAACUAGAAUAUGUAGUGUAGCGGUGAAAUGCUUAGAGAUUACAUGGAAUACCAAUUGCGAAGGCAGGUUACUACUAAUGGAUUGACGCUGAUGGACGAAAGCGUGGGUAGCGAACAGGA
rnacentral:rRNA from 1 species